rnacentral:lncRNA from 1 species
CUUUUUGAAAUCGGACAGUGUGGUUAGAUAAAGGAGAGUCUUAUCUUUAAAAUGCUGUGAAAUAGUCAUAUGUUUGAAAAAUUGACGUUUUUGUAUUUUAGAGGAGUUUGUAUUUCGCGCCACGCCCAUCAUUGGAUAAUGGAGCAGGUGUUCCGCUAGCGGAACGUCUAGAUGUAAGAGGUGUUAAGAUGAAUGUAGUGCACUGUAAGUCGCUCUGGAUAAGCGCGUCUGCUAAAUGUAAUGUCAUACAGACUGAGAAGGUGAUGCCAUUGCGAGAGCCAGAAAGUAGUGUAUAGUAAGAUGACCUCUAUAUUCAGGAACCCAUGGACAGUGUGAGGUCAUAUCCUACUGGGUGUGCACUGAACAAUGAUUCCGCUGUCAACGUGCUCCUGUGUGCUGACUCAUCAGGAGCAACACCAGAGGUUUCUAUAAGAAGUGGGUGCAUAGUGAGUGAGUCUGGGGUUGCCUUCCAAAUGGCACACUAUCCCCUAUGUAGUGUACUACUUUUGACCAGAACCCUAAGGUAGUGCAAAAAGUAUUGCACGCAAAAGUAGUGCGCUAGUGAAUAGGGUGCCAUUUGGGACGCAGUUGGGAGUCUGACUUUCUUCUCAGAAGGAAUACAAUUUGAAGUGAUUUACUAGGGGUUUAUUCAUCUCCACUGAACAAUGUUGCACAUCAGUGUAGUAAAGCCAGUGUAAAUGUAUAGAGUCAGGGGAAGGUGAAGACGGUGACUCAAAAUGGCAUCAUUUGAAGAGGUCAAACAACAUCAAACACUACUAGUCCUAUCAGGGAAAUUAGAUCACUUUCUUGUUCACACUAGAGCUGGGCGAUAUGGACAAAAAUCGAUGCGAUUACGAUAUAUAUAAUGAUGCGUUUAUAACAUUAAUGUACACCACAGUUUUUUUAUUGUCCUUUAAACUACUACUACUAGUUAGAUGGUUGUAGCCAUCUAUUGACCCGUUAAUCACCCAAACUUCACAUCUCUCUAGUAUAGGCUACUUAUCAUAAUGAACCAUAUCAGCAAAAUGCCUGCGAUAAGUGAUCGGUAUCGUCCCAACUCUAGUUCACACUCUCUUUACUGAUAUUACUAAUCCAAUGCAGUAAAAAAACAACGAUGGCUUUUAGAUCCACCAACCCAUCUGUCUCCAUCCCAAAGGACACCCUAUUCCCUACAUACAGUAGUGCACUAAUUUUGACCAGAGCCCUAUGGGGACUUUAGUCAAAAGUAGUGAACUAUAUAUGGAAAUAGGGUGCCAUUUGGGAUUCACCCCAUUUUUCUCCAUAGCUCAGGUGACCUCACUCUCUCCUCACAUCAUCUGAAUAAGUCAUUUAACAGAUGUCAUCUCCCAGUUCUCUAGCAGUAUAGGGUGCUAUACUCCACUGAGCUGUCACUCGAAGAUAACAUCACAGAAACCACUCCUUCCCCUCCGCAUAUAGUGAAUGCAAAUCCAAAACUGAAUGGAAGGAUCUAGAGCUAGCCUCUGGCUAAUAAUUCUUCUAGUGAAUUCAAACUAGCUUCCAUAGAAUGAUCUGCAGUCUAACUACAGAAGGAUGUAGAGCUCACUACACAAGGUUCGUCCACAGAUCCUACUGUGUGAGAAGUGCAUUCAAGUGAUAAUAAUAAAAAAAUAUAUAUACAUUAAAAAGAAAAAAAAAAAAGCAGACACCCCACCACUUUUUUGGUAAACAGCUGAGGGAUAGGACUGGAGAAAUGUAACCACACUCAAAUGUAGAGAUGGGAUGUACAAGUCCCAGAUUGCUCCUACAAGAACAAAAUCAAAACAGUAUUUCUCCUGGGUAGCUAUCCUUCAUAACAGCAGGCUAGCUGGUCGUAGUAGGAACCCUCAGUCAAUACCCCUGACAGCUUAAAUGGAUGGGUGCCGCUUUGAGUCAAGAGAAAGUGUUCAAAUGUGCAUUCAACACAAACUACACAAGUGUGAGAGAUUCCUCCCUCUUCAUGCAUACAUAGUCAUUACAGCACUUUACUGUGAACCAAGGCAGCCAGGGUUGUAUGUAGCUGGGAGCUGUGCCAUCUAAACCUGUAGAUCUAGUUAUAGUAGCAAACCCCUGAUUACUUCUUCCUGUACUGUCUUAAUUACGAUAAAUAGCAGUCUUAGCAUACUGUAUCUUAUAAAUGUUCAUUCUAAAGCCUAUGUCUUUCGGGUACUAGUACGUGAUUGGUACAUACAUGUACUAGCUAAACAAUGCACCGAUGGGCUAGGCCUAUUGCAUUCAUGGGAAUACACUGUCUAUGUGCUAAAUGUGCUGUGCUGUGCUGUAGGGUAGCCCUGAGGCUUGGCUUAGCAGAGAGAUAAAGGGUCCACAUCUCAAAUGGCACCCUAUUCUCUUUGUAGUUCACUACAUUUGACAUGGGCUGUUCCAUUUUUGGACACAGAUACAGAGUGGUGGGGGAAAACAUGGACUGUGGACUUCAGAUGUUGUAGACUGACUUCCACCAUGACCUCGAAUCCGGUUGUAAAUAGAGAGAGAGUCAAACAAACACUGACUGGUCUGUGGAGAGCAC